rnacentral:rRNA from 1 species
AGUGAACGCUGGCGGUAGGCCUAACACAUGCAAGUCGAACGGCAGCACAGUAAGAGCUUGCUCUUACGGGUGGCGAGUGGCGGACGGGUGAGGAAUACAUCGGAAUCUACUUUUUCGUGGGGGAUAACGUAGGGAAACUUACGCUAAUACCGCAUACGACCUACGGGUGAAAGCAGGGGAUCUUCGGACCUUGCGCGAUUGAAUGAGCCGAUGUCGGAUUAGCUAGUUGGCGGGGUAAAGGCCCACCAAGGCGACGAUCCGUAGCUGGUCUGAGAGGAUGAUCAGCCACACUGGAACUGAGACACGGUCCAGACUCCUACGGGAGGCGGCAGUGGGGAAUAUUGGACAAUGGGCGCAAGCCUGAUCCAGCCAUACCGCGUGGGUGAAGAAGGCCUUCGGGUUGUAAAGCCCUUUUGCUGGGAAAGAAAAGCAGCAGGUUAAUACCCCGCUGUUCUGACGGUACCCAAAGAAUAAGCACCGGCUAACUUCGUG